rnacentral:lncRNA from 1 species
AAGUCAGUUCCCUUUCAAUACCUUUCCCAUACCCCGCCCAGUGAUGUCUGAUUUUAUCUUUCUGGCUACCUUAAUUAGUGCAGCAGGCCAGGAUAUGUACACUGCCACUCACUAAUAUAGCAGUUUGAUUUGUAGGAAAGAAGAAAGGUAUUCGGUGAGCAACUAGCAGUUUGCCACAAUUUAGAUCUUUUAUAUAAAAAAAACCUUCCAUUUUAGUUAAAUCCCUUCCCUCCCUCCUCAGAAUUACCCAUAUAUGAAUUUGGUAUAUUAUUUUCAUGCAUAUUAUGUUACCUUUACAAUGUAUGUUUAUGUCCAUGAACAGUCUUAUUUUAAUAUGCUUUAAAGCAGUGUAUAUAGGAACAUACUGUACAUAUCCUGUAGACAGGUUUUUUCCUUCAUUCCACAUUGUUUACCCAGAUUGAUGCAUAUAGUUUUAGUUUAAUUUUACCUGCUAUGUGGAAUUGUUAUACAGUUCAUAUAUAUAUUUUCUUCUUCUCUCUCUUUUUUUUUUUUUUUUGGGGUCUUUUAUCUUUUCAGGGCUGCGCUUACAGCAUAUGGAGGUUCCCAGGCUAGGAGUCCAAUCGGAGCUACAGCUGCCAGCCUAUGCCAGAGCUACAGCAACACCAGAUCCGAGCUGUGUCCUACACCACAGCCCACUGUAACGCUGGAUCCUUAACCCACUGAGCAAGGCCAGGAAUCGAACCCACAACCUCAUGGUUCCUAGUCAGAUUCGUUUCCGCGUGCCACAACGGGAACUCCCAUUUUCUUCUUGAUGCACAUUUAGUGGUUAAUUUGCCCCCUCAUUAUAAACAAUGCUGUAGUCUUUGUGUCUCCUCGAAUUCACAUGCAAGAGUUUCUCUGGGAUAUGUAGCAAGAGUCUUUCUGGGAUAUGUACCUAGAAGUGGAAUUAUUGAGUGAUAGGGCAGUGCUUUCUUCAGCUUUACUACAUAUUGUCAGGUUGCUUUGCAGAGUGGCUGUGCCACAUUACACUUGGAACAGCGUGGUAUGAGUGGCCCAUUUCUUUAUUCCUUACUAAUAACACUUUGUGCUUUUGCUAAUCUAUUGAGGUCAAAUUCAUUUCCCUGAAUACUACUGAGAUUGAGUAUAUCUUCAUAUGUUCACUGGCUGUUUAUGUUUUCUUGGUUGUAAUUUGCUCGUUCUUGCUUUUCAGCCUCUUUUUCACUGUUUGCAUUGUUUCGAUUUGGAGAAGUUUUUAAUACAUACUGAAACUAAUCUUUUGCUGAUUAUUUCUGUAAUGGAUAUUUCCCCCCUAAUCUUUUGGCUUAUCAUUUCAAUGUCUAUGAUAUCUUUGUUUUAAAAUUUUUAAUUUUCAUGUAGUAAUUAUUAAUUUUUUCUUUAAUGGUCUGUGCUUUUUGAGUAUUGUUUAAGAAAUUCUUCUGUAACCAAGGACAUAAAGAUAUUUACCUAUAUUUUCUUUUAAAGUUUUAGAUACUUGUAUGUGACCAAGGGGUCUGAUCGUGGGCUCUCUUCUGUUUUGUUGGUCUUUAAUGUCUCUGCCCAUGAUUCACACUGAUUUAAGUACUAUAGCUUGAUGGCUAGACCACGGAGUUCCCUUACCUUGUUGUUCAAAAUCUUACUGGCUUUCAUGGCUUUGUUGUGUAUGAUUUUAGCAUCUGCUUUUAAAGUUCUAUAAAAAAUUAUACUGAGAUUUUAAUCAAAGCUGUAUUAAGUAUAUAGAUUAAUAUUGAGAGAAUUAUUUACUAUGAUAAAUCUUUUAUAUGCCAGCAUGCUAUCUUCAUUUUUGAAAAGGUCUUUCUGAGCAAUUUUCUAGUUUUUUUUGGCAAAAGAAUUCAGUGAGUUUUGUAUGAUGGUCUUGAAUCCAGCAACAUUGCUGGAAGUUCAUUAGUUCUGGUUGUCUUCAUUUUCUACCGUUUCUUUUGGUUUUGUUCUGUUUUCUUCUUUCCAAUUCUUAAAUCUCUUGUUUCUUUUUCUUACUUUACUGUUCUAGAUAGGAACUCCAGUACAUUGUUGGGAAGAAAAAAUGACAGAUGGCAUUUUUGCUCUUUUCCUAACUUCAAAGGGAAUGCUUCCAACUCUUAAAGAUUAAACAUUUUGUUUACUCUACAUUUAGGGCAGAUAUCCUUUAUCAGGUAGGCAGAGUUCAUUCUUAUUUCUAAUUUUCUAGAAUUUCUUUUGUUUUUGGCUUAAAUGUCAUGAAUAGAUGUUGGGUUGUAUUAUUUCACAAAAUAAAAGUCCCUCAUGACUAGAUAGUUAACGCUUACUCUCACCUCUAUCCUUUGUUCUAAUUUUGUCAUACGUUACGUCUUCGUAUUAAUAACUUGUACAAUACAGUUAUAAAUUUUGUUUUUUUUUUAAGAGUUAAGUUUUAUAAUUUAUUUAACUCCUUAGGUAAAUAUGACUUGUAUUUCUUUCUUUUCUUUUUUUUUUUUUUUUUUUUUUUUGUCUUUUUGCUAUUUCUUUGGGCAGCUCCCGCGGCAUAUGGAGGUUCCCAGGCUAGGGAUUGAAUCGGAGCCACAGCCCCCGGCCUACGCCAGAGCCACAGCAACGCGGGAUCCGAGCUGCAUCUGCAACCUACACCACAGCUCACGGCAAUGCCAGAUCGUUAACCCACUGAGCAAGGGCAGGGACCGAACCCUCAACCUCAUGGUUCCUAGUUGGAUUCGUUAACCACUGCGCCACGACGGGAACUCCUAAAUUUUGUUUUAAUCAACCAUCUCUUUUAAGAAAUCAAGAGGAGGAUUCCUGUUGUGGCUCAGUGGGUUAGGAACCUGACUAGUAUCCAUGAGAACUUGAGUUUGAUACCUGGCCUCUCUUGGUGGGUUAAGGAUCUGCCAUUGCUAUGAGCUGUGGUGUAGGUCGCAGACUCGGCUUGGAUCUGGUGUUUCUGUGACUGUGGUGUAGGCCGGCAGUGGUGGCUCCAACUCGGCCCUUAACCUGGGAACUUCCAUAUGCUGCAGGUGUGGCCCUAAAAAAAGCCUAAAUAUAUCUCUCUCUCUCAAGAGGGAUAGAGUUCCCACUUGAUUGCAGUGGGUGGUGCAAUGGGAUUGGUGGCAUCUCUGGAGUGCUGGGAUGCAGGUUCAGUCCCCAGCCCCACACAGUGUUUUAAAGAUCUCAUGUUGUUGCAGUGUAGCAUAGAUCACAACUCUCUUUCAUAUCUGACUCCUGGCACAGGAAUUCCAUAUG